UACGAAGGGGGCUAGCGUUGCUCGGAAUUACUGGGCGUAAAGCGCACGUAGGCGGUCUUUUGAAGUCGGGGGUGAAAUCCUGGAGCUCAACAUCCAGAACUGCCUUCGAUACUGGGACGCUUGAGUAUGGGUAGAGGUUGGUGGAACUGCGAGUGUAGAGGUGAAAUUCGUAGAUAUUCGCAAGAACACCGGUGGCGAAGGCGGCCAACUGGACCAUUACUGACGCUGAGGCGCGAAAGCGUGGGGAGCAAACAGG
rnacentral:rRNA from 1 species